UUUCUGGAGAUCUACUGUCCUGUAGGUUCAGUCCAACCCUCUUCCUGGAGAUCUACUGUCCUGUAGGUUCAGUCCAACCCUCUUCCUGGAGAUCUACUGUCCUGUAGGUUCAGUCCAACCCUGUUCCUGGAGAUCUACUGUCCUGUAGGUUCAGUCCAACCCUGUUCCUGGAGAUCUACUGUCCUGUAGGUUCAGUCCAACCCUGUUCCUGGAGAUCUACUGUCCUGUAGGUUCAGUCCAACCCUGUUCCUGGAGAUCUACUGUCCUGUAGGUUCAGUCCAACCCUGUUCCUGGAGAUCUACUGUCCUGUAGGUUCAGUCCAACCCUGUUCCUGGAGAUCUACUGUCCUGUAGGUUCAGUCCAACCCUGUUUCUGGAGAUCUACUGUCCUGUAGGUUCAGUCCAACCCUGUUCCUGGAGAUCUACUGUCCUGUAGGUUCAGUCCAACCCUGUUCCUGGAGAUCUACUGUCCUGUAGGUUCAGUCCAACCCUGUUUCUGGAGAUCUACUGUCCUGUAGGUUCAGUCCAACCCUCUUCCUGGAGAUCUACUGUCCUGUAGGUUCAGUCCAACCCUCUUCCUGGAGAUCUACUGUCCUGUAGGUUCAGUCCAACCCUGUUCCUGGAGAUCUACUGUCCUGUAGGUUCAGUCCAACCCUGUUCCUGGAGAUCUACUGUCCUGUAGGUUCAGUCCAACCCUCUUCCUGGAGAUCUACUGUCCUGUAGGUUCAGUCCAACCCUGUUCCUGGAGAUCUACUGUCCUGUAGGUUCAGUCCAACCCUGUUCCUGGAGAUCUACUGUCCUGUAGGUUCAGUCCAACCCUGUUUCUGGAGAUCUACUGUCCUGUAGGUUCAGUCCAACCCUGUUCCUGGAGAUCUACUGUCCUGUAGGUUCAGUCCAACCCUGUUUCUGGAGAUCUACUGUCCUGUAGGUUCAGUCCAACCCUCUUCCUGGAGAUCUACUGUCCUGUAG